rnacentral:rRNA from 1 species
GACGAACGCUGGCGGCGUGCCUAAUACAUGCAAGUUGAGCGCUGAAGGUUGGUACUUGUACCAACUGGAUGAGCAGCGAACGGGUGAGUAACGCGUGGGGAAUCUGCCUUUGAGCGGGGGACAACAUUUGGAAACGAAUGCUAAUACCGCAUAAAAACUUUAAACACAAGUUUUAAGUUUGAAAGAUGCAAUUGCAUCACUCAAAGAUGAUCCCGCGUUGUAUUAGCUAGUUGGUGAGGUAAAGGCUCACCAAGGCGAGGAUACAUAGCCGACCUGAGAGGGUGGUCGGCCACAUUGGGACGGGGACACGGCCCAAAGCGCUGCGGGAGGCAGCAGUAGGGAAUCGUCGGCGAGGGGCGAGAGUCUGACCGAGCAACGCCGCGGGAGUGAAGAAGGUUGUCGGAUCGGAAAACUCGGUUGGUAGAGAAGAACGUUGGGGAGAGUGGAAAGCUCAUCAAGUGACGGUAACUACCCAGAAAGGGACGGCUAACUACGUG